ensembl:lncRNA
GCCUCGCAAACCGUGACAAGUUCACUUUUAAUCCUUUAACCUUAACUUAAAAAUACCAGUUUCAGUUUUACCAUAUCCAAAUGAUCAAAAACCCAAAAGGUCCUAAAAUGAUCCUAAAUUAUUAAGCAAUUAAAUUAUUAAACCCUAAACCCCCCUUUAUCUUGAUACAUUUCAUGUGUCAAGAUACUAUACAAAACUUAAAACUGCUCAGUUUUCCCCACUCAUGAUCCAAUCUAUGUCAUAAAAAUAAACUUAAAACAGAACAGUUAUCAGUCAUGUGUUUCUACAAUUAAUGGUAACUGAGUUACAUCAAAAAAUAUUUCCCCUUUAGCAUUUGGCAUUCUCCCAACAAUAUACUAUAAUCUCAUAAUCUAACCCCACCUAAUAAAACAAAACAGAAAUUUUCUCUGGUAAAAACAAAUUGUUUGUCCACAUUUAUUCACCCUCACAUUCACUCACAUGCAGUCACACCAUAUAUUUGCUGAUAGUGGAGCUUCCCGCACGAUCAGAUACUCCACCCUCAGCAAAAUGAGCUCAGUCAUUUUUAUUUUCCAUAGGGAAAUAUUUCUUUAUGCUUUUGGACUGGAUUGACUCGCAUAAAAUCCUUUUUACAGGGACUUACGACCUUGAUCAGUCCCCACAGGUAGCUCUCCUCAGCCAAUUGUAAUCUGGAAAGCCCCCUUAUAUUUGCUCCUCCCGAGAACUUUCAGCGCCGUUAUUCACUGUUGCAGGCCUGCUUAAAACAGAAAUGAAAAAAAAAAUAGAGCUGAUUGUUAGCUCAUAAAAACAAAACAAAAUCACCUGACAGGUUUUCUUUAAGUGCACUGUUACAAAAUAAUGGGCCCAAUUUUAGACAUGUCCAUGUUUCCUAAAACUCCCUCUAUUAAAAACAAAAAUAACAACAACAACCUACCUGACAGAAUCAACCCAUCACCACAACAACCUUAAACACACAAAUCUUGCCACCACAUAAUUUCACCUCCUCAAUACACCAAAAGUCUCAUUAAAACCACUCAAUUUGCACACAAAAAUCACCCCCUUAUGCUCUAUAACAUACUUCAAUUCAGCAUAAAACCCCCUUACGACAUCAUAUAAUCACUAAACUAUAAAUUUCCUACCCCAAUCUGCACUUCUCGUCUCUGCUAUGCUUCCUCUUCCUGAAAGUCACAGUCACACACACACUCCAGCUAAUUUGCAUACUGAGUCAUCUCUCAAGAAGCUGUAACAACAGAAACAUAUGUUUAAACAUUCCCAACUCAUUAAAUCAUUUUAUUUCUUCCAACAGUGAUCACUAGUGUUGAUCACUCAGUACGAGAGCACUCCUAAGUCACUCUUUUUUAAAACUACUUUAAUCCCUUUUUCGUUUUCAUAACUCCCUUUGUCAUAUGGCUUAUUCUAUUCCUCAAUUACAAACUCAAAUGUAUUUUAUUAAACAUUCACACCCUUGUAUCAUUCAUACAAAAUAGCAAGCUGUUCUUCAUUGCCUAUGUUUGUGUUCUUAGCUAGG